UACGAAGGGGGCUAGCGUUGCUCGAAAUUACUGGGCGUAAAGGGCGCGUAGGCGGAUAGUUUAGUCAGAGGUAAAAGCCCAGGGCUCAACCUUGGAACUGCCUUUGAUACUGGCUAUCUUGAGUUCGGGAGAGGUGAGUGGAAUGCCGAGUGUAGAGGUGAAAUUCGUAGAUAUUCGGCGGAACACCAGUGGCGAAGGCGACUCACUGGCCCGAUACUGACGCUGAGGCGCGAAAGCGUGGGGAGCAAACAGG
rnacentral:rRNA from 1 species